CAAUGGAUGAGUCUCUGCGAGGACCAGAGAAGUCCGCUAAUAAGUUGUAAGGAACUGUCGGACAUCUGUGUAGGAAACCUUUGUGCCUACACCCUUUCCAUCCUUCAUCUGCUACGUGCAAGGCUUCCAGGAUGUCCUGAUAGACCAACACAGGCACUUCCAUAGACUAAGGAAAGAGCACCAAGUGCAGAUGUGCUAUCUAAGGCAAUGCUGUUUCUAAGGAUGAAAGCUGAAUGAAAGAGUCAUCAUGGCACCAGUCAAAACAUAAA